AUUGAACGCUGGCGGCAGGCCUAACACAUGCAAGUCGAGCGGAUGAAGGGAGCUUGCUCCUGGAUUCAGCGGCGGACGGGUGAGUAAUGCCUAGGAAUCUGCCUGGUAGUGGGGGAUAACGUCCGGAAACGGGCGCUAAUACCGCAUACGUCCUGAGGGAGAAAGUGGGGGAUCUUCGGACCUCACGCUAUCAGAUGAGCCUAGGUCGGAUUAGCUAGUUGGUGGGGUAAAGGCCUACCAAGGCGACGAUCCGUAACUGGUCUGAGAGGAUGAUCAGUCACACUGGAACUGAGACACGGUCCAGACUCCUACGGGAGGCAGCAGUGGGGAAUAUUGGAAAAUGGGCGAAAGCCUGAUACAGCCAUGCCGCGUGUGUGAAGAAGGUCUUCGGAUUGUAAAGCACUUUAAGUUGGGAGGAAGGGCAGUAAGUUAAUACCUUGCUGUUUUGACGUUACCAACAGAAUAAGCACCGGCUAACUUCGUG
rnacentral:rRNA from 1 species